GAAACUCUUUCUCUGAUCCAUGAGUUUCGUGUCCUGAGGAAAACGAUUUCCUGUUCCGUUUGUAUCCCGAUCACAGAGCUCACGGUCUGUGAAGUUCUCCUGUCCUCCUGUGUGGUCAGUUAAGGUAGGGUGUCCCUGUGACGUUAACUCUCUCAUUUUCCUGAUGGACUUUGGUGUGGGAGAGGGAGUGUUUUUGAACCUACUUUGUGACUUUAACACAGACCAGCCUACAGGCCUGAUGCUGUACUGACUCACAGGGGUUAACACCACCUCAGAUGUCUGACAUCAUGAAUAACCACCGUGAGUAAUGCAGAGAACAGAUGCAUCACUCUGCCUCAAAGCAAAAAAAUGUUACAGAGUCAGUCUGAGUAAAGGCAGAGAACUGGGUUUUCUAAGAAUAGGAGGAGAAAAUGUAUUCAUUUUGUUUUUGUUGACGCAGGAUGAUGUAAAAAAAAAAAAAAUCUCCUCCUCUUCAUUAGAGCAGCUCUGACAGCAGCCACCAGGCGGGUGUGAGAGACUGUGGUAGGAGUUUGGGGGAGUGAGGUCACAGCAAGUACUGGAACAUAUGAGACGCCACAAUCUGCUCAGCUGUGAAUGUUUUCACACAGAUCAGGAGCGCUCCGUUCUGCUGCAGGCUGUCAGGACUCAGAGUCCACAUCCUUUAACUGUGGCGGUGUGAACCAAUGGUUUUAAAGGGAUAUUGUGCAAAUUUUACUCAAUGCAGUAUUUGUCAUGAUCUACCACAAUGACGAUGACAGACCAGCAGCCCCACACCGACGUCUUCUGUGUCAUUCUGAGGGAAAGUUUAUGGUUCUUCACAGGGUGUUGUUAAAGGACAGUGAACAAAACUACGGGAUUUCAUUAAAUAUGUUACUUUGUUGGUGUUUUAUCUCGGUGGUCUCAAACUCCUGGCCUGGGGGCCACUUGCAGCACAUGAAGUUCUGACAUCUGGCCUGUGAUGAAAUGCUCUGUAUCAUCUUUUUUUUAAUUAUUCAAAUAUUAACAACUGUAAGUGUUGUAUUGAUAUGGAGUUUAUGUGGCCCAUUUCUAAAACCCAUGGGUUUUUCUAUGAGAUUUGGUGGAAAUGAAUUAACAAAUGACAUAUUUGAAAAACCUUUCCACGCCACAGUGUAACUAAUCAGCAAACAUGACAGGAUGUGAAGCUGAUUAUUUGAACUUUUGAACAAACGUUCAUCCUUGGAUUGUUGCUUUAAUAAUCAGCAGCUGCUUCUGUGGGUCGACUGUAAAAAGAGCACUGGCAUCUGCUGCCGAUUAUCUGUAAGAAAUCACUGCCAUUGAUCAGUUUGGCUCCUGCCUUGGACAGAGUGUCGAUUCAUCAAUCAAGAGCUUUAACCCCCCCCCUCCCACAGUAGAUCCUGACUGUGAUUUGUGUAGGCCUCAUUUGUGCCAGCUCAAACGGUUUUCUGUCUGCACUGCUGUCGUCA